rnacentral:rRNA from 1 species
AUUGAACGCUGGCGGCAGGCCUAACACAUGCAAGUCGAGCGGAGCGGCGGACGGGUGAGUAAUGCCUAGGAAUCUGCCUGGUAGUGGAGGAUAACGUCCGGAAACGGGCGCUAAUACCGCAUACUCUCAGAUGAGCCUAGGUCGGAUUAGCUAGUUGUUGGGGUAAAGGCCUACCAGGGCGACGAUCCGUAACUGGUCUGAGAGGAUGAUCAGUCAGACUGGAACUGAGACAAGGUCCAGACUCCUACGUGAGGCAGCAGUGGGGAAGAGUGGACAAUGGGCGAAAGCCUGAUCCAGCCAUGCCGCGUGUGUGAAGAAGGUCUUCGGAGUGUAAAGCACUUUAAGUUGGGAGGCGUUACCCACAGAAUAAGCAACGGCUAACUUCGUGCCAGCAGCCGCGGUAAUUC